rnacentral:rRNA from 1 species
UGGGGAAUCUUGCACAAUGGGGGCAACCCUGAUGCAGCGACGCCGCGUGAGCGAUGAAGCCCUUCGGGGCGUAAAGCUCUUUCGACCGGAACGAUAAUGACGGUACCGGGAGAAGGAGCUGCGGCUAACUACGUGCCAGCAGCCGCGGUAAUACGUAGGCAGCAAGCGUUGUUCGGAGUUACUGGGCGUAAAGAGUGCGUAGGCGGUUUUCUAAGUUCGGUGUGAAAUCUCCCGGCUUAACUGGGAGGGUGCGCCGAAGACUGGGAAGCUGGAGUGUGGGAAAGGCAGGCGGAAUUCCUGGUGUAGCGGUGAAAUGCGUAGAUAUCAGGAGGAACACCGGCGGUGUAGACGGCUUGCUAGACCAUAACUGACGCUGAGGCACGAAAGCGUGGGUAGCAAACA